GACAAGAGCAGCCCCCGCACUGAGAGUUCUAAAAUGUGGCCACCCUGGUCGUGAAUAAUGACCAUGUCACCCUAAUUAUUUGUUUAGAUAACAAUCUUCUCUCCCCCAUCCUAAAAUUCCCAGUCAGGUCUCAGUAGACAAUAGCGAACAAACACUACGUGGAAGGAAGAAAUUACUUGGAAAAAGGAAUUCAGAGCGUCGCAUCAAUACUGAAGGUUUCUCAAAGCUGCAGCCCCCUGUAUCCAGCAUUCGGACACAUGAUUGGGCAGCCUUCGCUCCCCUUCCUGGUUCUUCAGUCCCACCAGGAGAAGCUGAACCAGGUCUCCAGAACCAGGUGGGCUGAGAGGCAGAGGCUUGACCGUCUUCCUCUGUCCAUAGGCCAUGACUGGUCUCACCUAAAGGAUGCCCCAGCUCUGAAGGUCAAGGAACCAGCCUGGCCUCUUGCAAAGUCUCUCCCGAUGGAUAACAAGUACUGACUGGCUAUGGCGGGGCCUUGGCACCAUUUCCACAAUGUUUCCUCCCAUGUCUCUGCGCGUCUCCCUCCCUCCCCGCCCCCAUCUAGUAACUUUAAGCAGUGGCUCAAGACCAGGCUGGCUGUGGAUGCCACUGCUGGGGUUCUAGAAGGCAACUCUUUGUCUCCACAGACACCAAGGAACAAGAAAGGGUUUCAAGACCCCAAGUCUAGAAGUUUCCAGUGAGGCUUGCCAUAAACGACAACUUCUCCACAGCCCUUUGUUCCUCAGAAACCAAGUCCCAGGCCUGAAAACGUGCCAGAGUCUGUGGCUCAGCAGAAAGCAGGUGCUCAGAGGAGAUGGGCUCAACUCUUAUCAAGACCCUCACUACUAGCGUCAUGCCUCCAAACUAGUGUCGCCGGGCCUGCGCCAGUUCUCCUGGAAGCUCACACCUCCCGGUCAUCUCCACUGCAUGUCUGGGAAAAACUUCCUUGGCCCUCAAGUUGAAAUUUCAGCUGCUUGGACUGUGCCUCAGUUUCCUCAUCUGUAAAAUGGCAGUCGUCGUACCUACCUUGUGGGGUUGUGAUGAUUAAAUGAGACAAGACAUGAACAUGUAAACCCAUUAGCAUAAGGCCUGUACCAUAGUGAGAGCUCAGUAAGUGCUAGUAGUAGUAGUAUCUGUUGCUGUUCUUAUUGUUGACUUCAUCAUCAUUACCUUCUGGGGGCUCAGCCACCGGGGGAUUUAAACAGUACAUGUGAUAGCCUCGGUCACAGUCAUCGCAGAAGAGUAGCUGGUCCUGGUGGAACACAGAGUAAGCACAGAGGAGGAGAGAUUCCAUUAUUCGGGGCCAAUGUCUGGCCCCCGCUUACCCAUCAGCCUUAUUUCCACGUCGGUCUCACUGGAUCCCCUUUCCAGGCCCCACUUGGAGUCCUCACUGUCCCCUGAACACGCCUGUGCUUUUCCCACAACUGGAGUUUCCCCCUCUACCUCCCAGCCUAUAUAAAUCCUACCCCCAUUUUAGGGUUCUGCUCAACUCGUACCUCCUCCAAGACGCCUUCUGUGACUAACACCUCACAUCCAAAUUUAAAGGGAUCCCUUAUUCUUCUGAACUUCCAAAGCCAAUAGCUCUGCUUCCAAAGGGCAGAAAAUGUCUCUAUUCUCCAUGACUUUAUAUAUUUGAAGAUCUUAAUUGAAUUCUUCUGGACUCCACUCUCUCCAUCUGUGAAAUGGCCAACAGCUGUACUGGGAUGAACCUCAGAACCUCUUCAGGGUUUCAUUAGAAUGUAGAAAAAUGCAAGUAGCGCCAUCCCUCGGCUUCCAGAAGCUUCCUCACUGUCUGGAGGCUGGAGCCCGGGUGAGAGCAGGGCACCCCAGGGUUGUGGUUAACUUCAAAGGACACAGGCCAUAUCUUUGCACCUAUGGCUACUUCUGCCUGGAGGCUCUCCCAGGCCCUGACCCUUUCUCUGCAUGUCCAUUCCCUGCCUGCCCUUCAAGUACGUCUUCUUCAAGCACUUCUUUUCCACAAAGUCUUUGCUAAUCUACCUCAACUGGAAGUUGUCUCUUCCCUCGUGCAGCCCUGUGGUACUUUCCCUUUCUGUGACAUUUAAAUGCAUUUUCCUUUACGUUACAUGCCUGGCAUGUGGUAGACAUCUAAUCACGUUUGUUUUCUUGGCUGGGCGCUGUGGCGCAUGCCUGUAAUCCCAGCACUUAGGGAGGCCAAGGCGCGUGGUUCACUUGAGGUCUGGAGUUCGAGACCAGCUUGGCCAACAUGGUGAAACCCCAUCUCUACUAACAAUACAAAAAUUAGCCAGGCAUGGUGGCGUGCACCUGUAAUCCCAGCUACUCAGGAGGCUGAGGCAGGAGAAUCUCUUGAACCCGGGAGGUGGAGGUUGCAGUGAGCCAAGAUCGCACCACUGCACUCCAGCCUGGGCAACUGAGUGAGACUCUGUCUCAAAAAAAAAAAAAAAAAGACAUCUACAUGUUUGUUUUCUUGAAUAGUUCAUUUGGAACAUGCCUCUUUUUUCCACCCUUUAUCCCCUUUAUGGACUAUAAAGCCCUUGGGGGCAAAAUCUUGUUUUCCUCAUCACUGCAUCCACUGUAGAGACUUCCUUGCAUACAGGAGCUGCUCGGAAACUGUUUGUGAUCUGGCCCCACCCCCUAGUUUCAGCUCUGUUCUAUUUGGUGAUUGUUGAAACUGUUUGGAUGGCUUAUGAGCCUUUUUCAAAAUAAAGUUUUAUAUCAAAUCUCACCUUGG
rnacentral:lncRNA from 1 species